rnacentral:rRNA from 1 species
GACGGAGGGUGCAAGCGUUGUUCGGAAUUACUGGGCGUAAAGGGCGCGUAGGCGGUCUGUUAAGUUCGGUGUGAAAGCCCCCGGCUCACCUGGGGAACUGCGCCGGAAACCGACAGACUCGAGUACCGGAGAGGAGGGUGGAAUUCCUGGUGUAGCGGUGAAAUGCGUAGAUAUCAGGAGGAACACCAGUGGCGAAAGCGGCUUCCUGGUCCAGCACCGACGUUCAGGCACGAAAGCGUGGGGAGCAAACAGG